GGGGGAUUUGCUUAUUGCACCACAUGUGUUUUUUAUUGAACAAAUUUCUUUGGUGGCGGGAGCAAUCCUACCGCCAGAGGUUAUAACUAAACCAAACUUUUUAUUUACAGUCAAACUUGAUUUAUUAUUACAAUAGUCAAAACUUUCAACAACGGAUCUCUUGGUUCUCGCAUCGAUGAAGAACGCAGCGAAAUGCGAUACGUAAUAUGAAUUGCAGAUAUUCGUGAAUCAUCGAAUCUUUGAACGCACAUUGCGCCCUUUGGUAUUCCAAAGGGCAUGCCUGUUUGAGCGUCAUUUCUCCCUCAAACCCCCGGGUUUGGUGUUGAGCAAUACGCUAGGUUUGUUUGAAAGAAUUUACGUGGAAACUUAUUUUAAGCGACUUAGGUUUAUCCAAAACGCUUAUUUUGCUAGUGGCCACCACAAUUUAUUUCAUAACUUUGACCUCAAAUCAGGUAGGACUACCCGCUGAACUUAAGCAUAUCAAUAAGUCGGAGGAAA
rnacentral:rRNA from 1 species